AGGGGUUUGAUCCUGGCUCAGAACGAACGCUGGCGGCGUGGAUUAGGCAUGCAAGUCGAACGAGGAUAUAUCCUUCGGGAUAUAAGCCAAGUGGCGGAAGGGUGAGUAAUGCAUAGACAACCUGCCUUUAGGAUAAGAAUAACUCUGUGAAAGCGGAGCUAAUACUUAAUAAUACAAAGAAAAGGAUCUUUUCUUUGUCAAAAAAGGGUAUUUAUACCUUUUACCUAAAGAGGGGUUUAUGUCCUAUCAGCUUGUUGGUGGGGUAACGGCCUACCAAGGCGAAGACGGGUAACCGGCCUUAGAGGGUAGUCGGUCACACUGGAACUGAGACACUGUCCAGACUUCUACGGAAGGCUGCAGUCGAGAAUCUUUCGCAAUGCCCGAAAGGGUGACGAAGCGACGCCGCGUGGAUGAAGAAGGCCUUCGGGUUGUAAAAUCCUGUCAGGAGUUAAGAAAUAUAGGUGCGAUAAUACCGUGCCUAUUUUGACAAAGGCUCCAGAGGAAGCCACGGCUAACUCUGUGCCAGCAGCCGCGGUAAUACAGAGGUGGCAAGCGUUGUUCGGAAUUAUUGGGCGUAAAGAGCACGUUAGGUGGAUUUGUCAGCCAGAUGUGAAAGCCUUCUUGUUCAACGGGAAGAAUUGCAUCUGA
rnacentral:rRNA from 1 species